rnacentral:tRNA from 1 species
GGUUUCGUAGUGUAGUAGGUUUAUCACGUAUCCUUAACAAUCAUCGUUAAACGGAUAAGGUCCUGAGUUCGAGCCUCAGCGAAAUCA